rnacentral:rRNA from 1 species
AGUGAACGCUGGCGGUAGGCCUAACACAUGCAAGUCGAACGGCAGCACAGUAAGAGCUUGCUCUUACGGGUGGCGAGUGGCGGACGGGUGAGGAAUACAUCGGAAUCUACUUUUUCGUGGGGGAUAACGUAGGGACACUUCCGCUAAUACCGCAUACGACCUACGGGUGAAAGCAGGGGAUCUUCGGACCUUUCGCGUUUGUAUUAGCCGAUGUCGGAUUAGCUAGUUGGCGGGGUAACGGCCCACCAAGGCGACGAUCCGUAGCUGGUCUGAGAGGAUGAUCAGCCACACUGGAACUGAGACACGGUCCAGACUCCUACGGGAGGCAGCAGUAGGGAAUAUUGGGCAAUGGGCGCAAGCCUGAUCCAGCCAUACCGCGUGGGUGAAGAAGGUCUUCGGGUUGUAAAGCCCUGUUGUUGGGAAAGAAAAGCAGCAGGUUAAUACCCCGCUGUUCUGACGGUACCCAAAGAAUAAGCACCGGCUAACUUCGUG